GAUGAACGCUAGCUACAGGCUUAACACAUGCAAGUCGAGGGGCAGCAUGGUCUUAGCUUGCUAAGGCCGAUGGCGACCGGCGCACGGGUGAGUAACACGUAUCCAACCUGCCGUCUACUCUUGGACAGCCUUCUGAAAGGAAGAUUAAUACAAGAUGGCAUCAUGAGUCCGCAUGUUCACAUGAUUAAAGGUAUUCCGGUAGACGAUGGGGAUGCGUUCCAUUAGAUAGUAGGCGGGGUAACGGCCCACCUAGUCUUCGAUGGAUAGGGGUUCUGAGAGGAAGGUCCCCCACAUUGGAACUGAGACACGGUCCAAACUCCUACGGGAGGCAGCAGUGAGGAAUAGUGGUCAAUGGGCGAGAGCCUGAACCAGCCAAGUAGCGUGAAGGAGGACUGCCCUAUGGGUGGUAAACUUCUUUUAUAAAGGAAUAAAGUCGGGUAUGGAUACCCGUCUGCAUGUACUUUAUGAAUAAGGAUCGGCUAACUCCGUG
rnacentral:rRNA from 1 species